UUUGGCAGCCAUUAAAGGGGAUGUGAAACAGACAAAGAAACUGAUCAAGGCUGGGGCUGACGUGAAUGUGGCCGACUUUGCAGGAUGGACACCUCUUCACGAAGCUUCAAAUAGAGGCUGGGUAUCAGUCACAAAACAGCUGCUAAAGGCAGGCGCUAAUGUCAAUGUACAGGGACUGGAGAAUGACACGCCCCUCCACGAUGCUUCAGGAAAUGGACACACUGAGCUGGUUGAGCUGCUUUUGAAGCAUGGAGCUAACCCCCUACAAGCCAACAGUAAGGGUAAGACGCCUGUAGAUGUGGCCGCCUCCCAGGAGAUGGUGAAGCUGCUGAGGAAGGAGAUCAUCGCCUCCAGCAGUGACAGCUCCAGUCUGGACGACGCCCGCUCCCCCACCUCCCCAGAGAGUAACUCUUCCUGCAAGGACGACGAUAUGGAUAUUUUUGUGCCAAGAAAUCCUAAAUCAGACUCCAACAAUGCAACUUCGGGACCAAGUAGUCGUAAAAGCAUCUUCAUUAAGUUCCAAGCGUGAACAGAAUGAUGAACAGAGUGACAAGUCCCCAGACAUCUACAGUUGUCUGGUGGAGACGGGUGAGAACAAAGACAUUCAAUCCUCAUGUGAUAGUCCAGCGUCCAGCGGGAGUGACUUGUAUGACCCCCAGCUACAGAGUGACAGGUUCAAACCCAAGUCGGGAGGUACGGAAGAAGUGUGUGCUACUAGGUCUGAAUCUCCCGCCUCCAAGGUGAAACUUCCAUUCUCAUCGUCAUUAUCGUCAGACAUGGGUGGCUUUGAACUUGGAGGCUUCAACAGGUUGAAUAACCUGGAGCCAGACAGUCAGGGCAUUGAACACAGCUCUCAAAAAUACAAGUUAAAAGUGUCGGAAACUCAGCCAUUUUUCCCACAAAGUGAAGGAUUUAGUGAUAGUGAAUCCAGAGAUUCGUUCAAUUUGGAUAAUGAUCGUGAUAGGAUGCGGAUUCCAACUGUGGAUUCGAGUCACUCGCGAUUAAAAGACUCGACAACAUCAGACAUUCAGCGGAACAGUGUCAAUUCAGUGCUAAAUUCGUGUACCUCCACCACUACUGGGAAAUCAGGAGGUGGUGGGGAGACCAAUAGUGUAUCAAGUAGUUCUAAUAAUGAACAAAGUUUUCUGCAAAAUAGCUCAAAUAUUCCUCGAAGAAAUAGUAUUAGUAGUUCAAAUAAUUAUGUGUCAAACAGUGCCAACAAUGGGAAUUCAAAUGACCUGCCAAAUUCUAGUGUCAGUUCUAGUGGACUUAAAUGGGACCUUCGAUCAACGGCUUCACCGAAAAGUGAAGAUGGCAGCAAUCAUUCAGGAAGGUCCGACUCUAAUCGGAUAGGGUCUCCUAUACGAGUGGAGGGCAAGGAUUUCAAGUCCUCGCCCAGAGUAGAUCGUGAUAACAACAGAGACAGCAAGCCUUGUUCUCCCAAGGUACCCCCAUUGAAGAUCAUCAUCCCUCCCAAAACAUCAACAGCAUCCAGUCAGGAUCCAGAAUCAGCGAAGAUUCACACAUCCAAGAAAUCUCUCCCCUAUGUAUUAAAUCCUACUCAGGAACAGCAGGCCGGGGGCUUGCUCCCCCAGACCAGCACCGCCCCCGCGCUGGGUUCACAGGAAAUCCAGCCUGUAGCAAGCCCAGCCUCCUCGCGGUCCUCAUCCAGUGGGACGACGUCCAAGGACGGUAAUAAAUAUUCUGGCAAAGACUCGAAAGAGAAAGACAACAAGGAGGUGUCCUCAGACUCACAAGUCAAUACUGAAAGUGAUCAGAAGUCUGAGGAAAUUUCAUCGUCCUCAAAGGAGAGUAAAGAGAGAGACAAUAGUUCUAAAGUGAAGGAUAGUGAGAAGGAUGGUAAGGAGAAAGGACAGGAUGAUGAGAAGGAGAGAGAAACCCAGCAGACGAGGCGGACACUACGCUCUCACACUCAGGCCAUGCAGCAGGAAAAGCAGAAACAGGGUAGACCACCACCAAAGGAGAAAGAUAGAGACUCAGGAAGUAAAGAAUCGUCAGACAAGGAUGAAACAGGAAGCACAUCCAAGAGUAAAACGGAGGAUGAGGAGGUUCACAUGCUGCCACGGAAACGAAAGGGUUUACGGCCAAAGACGGAGCCCGCUCCCCAGCCUGUCACUGAGCCCGCUAUCACCCUGCCACCCGUGUCCUACGAAAAGCCCCCCAAUCCAUUCGAGUUAUACUUGUCCAUUAGAAAACAGGUGAUUCGGCAACAGAAUAAUUUGUCCAUAGUCCAUCCUAAAGCUCCUCAGGGCUUCAAAGACUACUUAAUGGUCAGCUGUGGCUAUGUGCUGGAAGGGAAGAAAGCCAGCACUCUCUCUGUACCAAUGUUAUCGCCACCAAAUUCAGUUCAAGGGGACAUGAGGGAAUUAUUUAUCAAUCAGGAAAAAGUCCGCUAUAAGCUGAGAUUGCAACAUCUUACAGAAAGGGAGAAACUGAUUUUGUCAUUGGAGCAAGAGAGGAUCCGAGAGCACGGGCGGGCAGCUCGUGCGAUGGCCAAUCAGAACCUGCCGCUAAGUGUGUGUACAAUAUUAAAGAAUGAAGAAAUCUAUCAUGCAAUGGAUGCAGAGCAGGAGGAGAAAGAGAAGAGUGGAAGGGCUCGCUAUAAUGGCAGACAAUUCUUAUCAUGGUUGAAAGAUUUAGACGACAAGUUUGAAAAACUCAAGGAGGACUUGUUAUGUCGACAUCAUAUGGAGGCGGACUCUUUGUAUGCGAUUCAGAAACUCGACUGGGAAUGGAAGAUGAAGGAGCUGGGUUUAUGUGACAAUAAUGCCACACCAGAGGUGGAUGAAGUCAGCGUGCCUAUGGUCCAAGUUCAUGAAUUUGAUCUGACUUAGCCCAGGAAGAAAUUUGAGAGUGGACGUUGUCCCUUGAAAUUUGGGAGAUGUGAAAGUGAAAGUGAAAGUAGGCCACUGAGAGCAUCCUUGUGAUGUUCAGAGAGGGAAAUAAAAUGGACGGCGAAGAAUGUCCAAUGUAUGGUGCAAUGCAUUAUGUGCUGUGUUAACAGUGUGGUUUGGAGUAAUACUGUAGUUGCUUAUAUCUGGUAAAAGAUUGAAAGAAAAAAGCAGUUUACGAAGAGAGAUACAGAGGGUGCACCACAGAAAGUGGAGCAUGUGCAUGAGGCAGGUGGUCACAUUUAGAUUGAGAUUUUGAUCUGGAGGACACUGCAUCAAGCCCCCCGGAUCUAUGUUGUGAUGCAGGUUGAACAGUUAAGUGUGCAAACCUGCAACAGUCCCCAGCAUUUUACAAGUUGACACUUUCACACAACUUGCAGUCAUAUGCCUUUCCAAAUAUACAGUGUAGGUAAUUCAGAAUUUGGAUAAUUUGCCUCAAGUGCUGUAGUUUUAUAAUUUUGUGUAGUUUAACAAGGCAAAAGGAUUUUUAAAAUAUCAUGGAGGUACAUGUAAAUGUAUAUUGCUUAUGAAAAUAUCACUAAAAAAUAGAAGUUCUGGUUUCAUGGAUAAUUUUCUUGAAAAUUUUCUUCAAAAAAUGCUGAUAGACAUUUUAGAUUCAGUUCUAAACUCUCUGCUUUUAUAAAACUGAGAUACUGCAUGACAUUUUCUCUUGGAGCAGUCUUUCAGCCAUUAGCUGCAUAUUAGAUGUAGUGUUGCACAAUGAAGCCUUGUAGAAGUCUGGACGUUGGUUGUACUGAAAUCAUGUUAUAAAGCAGAGUCACAAGUACACCCAGUCUAUUUUAAAUUGUUUAAGAACAAAGAUAUAUCAUUUAUAGCCUUGUGAAUUUUACUUUUGAAAUAUUCUUAAAUUCUUAAACUUGGACAUGUGAAUGGUUAAUAUUAAACAAAAAGGUUCAAAAUACCUGAAUCUCAUUGCAUUAGUAAAUUAUUUUAUGACAUUAUACUUUUGAUUUUAUCCUUGUCAGGAAUCCAAUCACACAAAGGCAAUAUUCCCCAUUUAAUUUAGUGCUGUUUUUGUUUACUGAGCAUCUCUUAUUGUGUUUCAUGUAUAUUACAUGUUUAGAUGGUCUGUGCCUCUGGUUCAAUUUUUACUGGAUUUUCCCAGCACCUCUUGUUCAUUGGUAUUUUAUGUUGUACAGCAAUGUAUCAAGAUAAAAGACAUGUAUAUGUACUCAUUUUUUAAACAUUGAGAUAUUUAAUGUUCAAAUUAUUUUUGUCACAUGUGGUAAAUGCCAUGGGAGAGACUGUUCCAUGCAUUAAAAAUAAAAUGUACAGAAAUAG
rnacentral:misc_RNA from 1 species